GAGGGGCAGCGCGAGGUAGCAAUACUUUGGCGGCGACCGGCGGAAGGGUGCGUAACGCGUGAGCAACAUGCCCGUAUGAGGGGGAUAAGCGAUGGAAACGUCGUCUAAUACCCCGUAACACAGGAGAUCGCAUGAUCACCUGUUGAAAGAUUUAUCGCAUACGGAUUGGCUCGCGUGACAUUAGCUAGUCGGCGGGGUAACGGCCCACCGAGGCGACGAUGUCUAGGGGUUCUGAGAGGAAGGUCCCCCACACUGGAACUGAGACACGGUCCAGACUCCUACGGGAGGCAGCAGUGAGGAAUAUUGGUCAAUGGGCGGAAGCCUGAACCAGCCAUGCCGCGUGAAGGAAUAAGGCCCUAUGGGUCGUAAACUUCUUUUGACGGGGAGCAAUAAGGGCGUCGUGCACGUCCGAUGAGAGUACUCGUCGAAUAAGCAUCGGCUAACUCCGUGCCAGCAGCCGCGGUAAUACGGAGGAUGCAAGCGUUAUCCGGAUUUAUUGGGUUUAAAGGGCGCGUAGGCGGACGUGUAAGUCAGGGGUGAAAUACCGGGGCUCAACCUCGGAACUGCCUUUGAUACUGCAUGUCUGGAGUUCGGAUGCCGUGGGAGGAAUGGGCAGUGUAGCGGUGAAAUGCAUAGAUAUUGCCCAGAACACCGAUUGCGAAGGCAUCUCACGAAUCCGACACUGACGCUGAGGCACGAAAGCGUGGGGAUCAAACAGGAUUAGAUACCCUGGUAGUCCACGCAGUAAACGAUGAUGACUAACCGUCGG
rnacentral:rRNA from 1 species